CUUUCUCAAAAUUAUUAAUUAAUGCCAUGUCAAAAAUUAGAGGUUCACUUGAGACAUCUGGAUGAUGUUCAGUAAAAAAAAGAAAAUCACCCAAAAUCAAAAUGAAAGAGGAAAUCAAGAGUGUUAAUUCAGCUUAUAAAUUUCUAAUUAAAGCUUUCAACACAAUUAAACUAAGAUAAAGUCAGUAUUUUAAAUUAGUUAUUAUGAAAGUUAACAAAAGUAACAUUUUUUAACAAUUGUGAACAUACAAGCAAAUAUAAUGAACAUUUUAUUUUGUCUAAGGGCUAUUUUUUUUAUUUCAAUCAUUGAAUGUUAAUUUGUUUUAUUCAUGUGUCUUUUAAUUUUUAAUUCAUUAGCACAAGUAUAUCCCUUCUUAAAUAUUAACUAUCUUGUGCAGAAGUUAAUUAUGGCAUAAUUAAGAUUCAAUUUAACAUUUCAUAAAUUGGUCUCCUGUGAGUAUUAAUUGUAGACUGUUCACACAUUGAAGUGAUUGUAACUUACUAUAAACAUGUGUUAUUGGUCAGUGAUCAGUCAAGUGCAUCAUUACUUUCGCCCUACUGUUUUCAUAAUAACCAGUGUUAAACUCACCUAUCUUAUAUAAAAGAAAGUGUGAGAUAAGUGGGGUUUACAACAUGUAAUCUAAUACCCUGAACCAAUCUGGUAUCAGGAUCUGAUCUCGGAAAAUUCAAAUAUUAUACUCAGGAAGAGUUUAUUUGGACCUCAGUGCUUAUAAUUUAAAAUGAUGCUUAGGAGUAGAGUUAAACAUGUGACUAAAGUGCCAUUUAGAUGAAACAACUUUAUAAUGUGAACUUUAAUAAAAUUAUAAUGGGAUAUUAAAGGAGUUCUUCAAUCAGAUGGAAAUGGAAAUUUCUAACUACUGUUCAAUGGAAUAAUGGAAAACUUACAAUUCUACACAGGUAUCAUAGAGAGUUUCAAAUUAUAAUGAUGAAGGAAAGAAAAAUGAGGUUGAUUACAGAAAUAAUUGAUGUGUGUACAACAGGCAGUCAAUAAUAUGGAUAGUUGUGUGCCACAGUGAAGCCAUUCUGAAAGACUGAAUCUGUGAAGGACAUGAUUUAUCAUAAAUUAUGGAUACUUAUUUGAAAAAAAAACAAACAAAAAAAACAAAAAAAAACAGUUAUCUUAAAUAAAUAAUGUAAAUUGUUUUCUAUUUUCUCAACUUGGUAGACAUUUAUUAUUUUUUGAAUUUGUGUUAUGGAAUUAUUUUUGUUAAGAUGACUUGUAAAUCUAGAAAUAAGUUGAAAUGAAUAAAUUAAUUCUAUUAUGUAAUAGUUUAUUAAUGUUAUACCUUAUCACAUGAGGACGAUUAAUUGCAAUAUUGGAGAAUUUAAAGAAGUUUGCUACAGGCCAGACGCAAGCUUGUCGCAAGCUAGAGGCAAGCUUGCCGCAAGCUUGCAACUAGCUUGCCGCAAGCUUGAAACUAGCUUACCGCAAGCUUGCAACUAGCUUGCCGCAAGCUUGCAACUAGCUUGCCGCAAGCUUGCAACUAGCUUGUCGCAAGCUUGUGGUGCCUUUCAAAUCUAAAGCAUGCAUUUUUGAAAACAGGCUGCAAGCUUCCCGCAAGCUUGCGGCAAGCUUGCCGCGCGGUUCCAAUUCUAAGCUUUCCGCAAGCUUUAUUUGCAAGCUUGCGACAAGCUUGUUGCAAGCUUGUCGCAAGCUUUUAUAAAGCUUGCGAUUUUGGUUUGGGAAGGCCACUUCUUCCUUGACAUUUAGUGAUAUUAAGUGGCUUAGUCUUGUCCGCAUUAUCAUAAACCUCUGAAUUCCGGAAACCUCUGAAAUCCGAACUUUUUGACAAGUCCCAUGGGUGUUCGGUUUUCGGAAGUUACACUGUAUGUAUAUAGUAAAAACUUAAAAAAUCUUCUUUUAAAAAGCCAGAGCUAGACAUAAGAUAUUAAGCAAGAAUAAUCUCCUUUAAUUGGUGUCUACCAAGUUUGUUCAAAUAAUUUUUAAGCCCUUGGGUCAAAAUUGGCCCAACCCAAGGUGGUUAUUGAUUUUCCUUAUAUUUACAAUAACAAUGUAAAUAGUAAAAAUUAAAAAAAAACAACACCUUCUUUUGAUAAAUCAAAGAGCUUUAACUUAGAUAGUAGCAUGAAACAUCUUCUAGAGAGUUUUCUACCAAGUUCAAAUAGUAGACCUAGUGUCAAAAUUGGCCCUGUUCCAAGGUUUCAUUGAUUUUCCUUACAUGUACACAUCUUUUAGAACUGUUGUUUUUCCUCAGCAAUAGCAAACCUAUAAUGUUUUUACACAUGCACUAUUUCAUCUACAGAUAUGAACUUUUUGAUAUCAGUUUUAGAUUAAGAUUUUACAUAUUAUAUUUAGGUGAGCGAUUUCAGGGCCAUCAUGGCCCUCUUAUUGUUUAUUUUGUCAAC